rnacentral:rRNA from 1 species
AUGGGAGCUUGCUCCCUGAUGUUAGCGGCGGACGGGUGAGUAACACGUGGGUAACCUGCCUGUAAGACUGGGAUAACUCCGGGAAACCGGGGCUAAUACCGGAUGGUUGUUUGAACCGCAUGGUUCAGACAUAAAAGGUGGCUUCGGCUACCACUUACAGAUGGACCCGCGGCGCAUUAGCUAGUUGGUGAGGUAACGGCUCACCAAGGCAACGAUGCGUAGCCGACCUGAGAGGGUGAUCGGCCACACUGGGACUGAGACACGGCCCAGACUCCUACGGGAGGCAGCAGUAGGGAAUCUUCCGCAAUGGACGAAAGUCUGACGGAGCAACGCCGCGUGAGUGAUGAAGGUUUUCGGAUCGUAAAGCUCUGUUGUUAGGGAAGAACAAGUGCCGUUCAAAUAGGGCGGCACCUUGACGGUACCUAACCAGAAAGCCACGGCUAACUACGUGCCAGCAGCCGCGGUAAUACGUAGGUGGCAAGCGUUGUCCGGAAUUAUUGGGCGUAAAGGGCUCGCAGGCGGUUUCUUAAGUCUGAUGUGAAAGCCCCCGGCUCAACCGGGGAGGGUCAUUGGAAACUGGGGAACUUGAGUGCAGAAGAGGAGAGUGGAAUUCCACGUGUAGCGGUGAAAUGCGUAGAGAUGUGGAGGAACACCAGUGGCGAAGGCGACUCUCUGGUCUGUAACUGACGCUGAGGAGCGAAAGCGUGGGGAGCGAACAGGAUUAGAUACCCUGGUAGUCCACGCCGUAAACGAUGAGUGCUAAGUGUUAGGGGGUUUCCGCCCCUUAGUGCUGCAGCUAACGCAUUAAGCACUCCGCCUGGGGAGUACGGUCGCAAGACUGAAACUCAAAGGAAUUGACGGGGGCCCGCACAAGCGGUGGAGCAUGUGGUUUAAUUCGAAGCAACGCGAAGAACCUUACCAGGUCUUGACAUCCUCUGACAAUCCUAGAGAUAGGACGUCCCCUUCGGGGGCAGAGUGACAGGUGGUGCAUGGUUGUCGUCAGCUCGUGUCGUGAGAUGUUGGGUUAAGUCCCGCAACGAGCGCAACCCUUGAUCUUAGUUGCCAGCAUUCAGUUGGGCACUCUAAGGUGACUGCCGGUGACAAACCGGAGGAAGGUGGGGAUGACGUCAAAUCAUCAUGCCCCUUAUGACCUGGGCUACACACGUGCUACAAUGGGCAGAACAAAGGGCAGCGAAACCGCGAGGUUAAGCCAAUCC